AUGUUUCAACAGCACAUAUACAGCCAUUGAAAUUAUACAGAGAAGAUUAGCAUGGACCUCUGUGCAAAAAUGACUUGCUAAUUCAUGAGUAUUGUGCAAUCCAU